AACACUCGGGCCAAGUAAACUUGAGAGGUUUAAUACGUGCAUGUAUUAAGUGCUGCAAGACUUCAAGGAAGCUUUCAAGCCAAUGAACUCUAAAUUGUAUGGAAAGGAAAAUGCAGGAAAUGGGAUCUCACUCCAUCACUCAGGCUGGAGUACAGCGCUGAGAUCAAGGCUCACUGCAGCCUUGAACACCUGGACUCAAGUGAUUCUCCUGCCUCAGCCUCCUGAGUAGUAGAGACUACAGAGCCUCAUUCUGUUGCCCAGGCUGGAGUGCAGUGGCAUGAUCUCAGUUCACUGUGACCUCUGCCUCCCUGGUUCAAGUGAUUCUUGUGCCUCAGCCUCCCAGGUAGCUGGACUAAAGGGAUCCAGCUUUCAACAAGUCUGCUGGAGUUUGCUAGGGGUCCACUCCAGACCCUGUUUGCCUGGGUAUCGCCAGUGGAGGUUGCAGAACAGCAAAAAUUGCUGCCUGUUCCUUUCUCUGGAAGCUUUGUCACAGAGGGGCACCUGCCAGAUGCCAGCCGGAGCUCUGCUCCGAGCUGCAAACCAGAGCUGUUCCUAUUCAACCAUCUUGCCCACCUAGCAAGACAGGCCAAGAUUCAAAUUCAAAAAUUACAGAGAACACCACAAAGAUAAUCCUCGAGAAGAGCAACCCCAAGACACAUAAUUGUCUGAUUCACAAAGAUUGAAAUGAAGGAAAAAAUGUUAAGGGCAGCCAGAGAGAAAGGUUGAGUUACCCAUAAAGGGAAGCCCAUCAGACUGACAGCAGAUCUCUCUACAGAAACCCUACAAGCCAGAAGAGACUGGGGGCCAAUAUUCAAUAUUCUUAAAGAAAAGAAUUUUCAACCCAACAUUUCAUAUCCACCCAAACUAAGCUUGAACCAGGUUUUCUCUCUGGUUGUAGUACACUCUUGCUGUCUGUCUUUCUUGCCUUCUUUCUGCACAUUUUCCUUUUAGGAAAUCAAGACAUAUUUCACUUCCUUGAAGGGGUUUGAGAUUGAUAAAAAGAAAUGUGAAGAGAAAGAAGAUAAUUUUUUUCUUUUUCCGGUCCACAUAAAGAUGAUGCUCUAACCCUCCUCCCUUACAAGCAUGUGUACCUAUCAAAAGAAAACUUAGAAAUUUGAAUCUUGAGUUUACAUUUAAGUCAUAGCAUGGAGAGGAUUGAGAAUGUGGCACAAUGGAAUUCUCAUCCCUACUAUUUCUACAUCACUCAGCAAACUGAAGCUAGGUCUCUUUGCAUGGUUUCCAGAGGCGUCAUGAUGGAAUGGAUACAGAAAAUGGACAAAAUACUUAAAAUUUAUGUCUUGGUUCUCACCACUCACUCAUGGUUGAGACUCAUUGUCUACCUGUGCAGAUACGGCAUUGAUGGAGGCUGGUGUGUAAGUGAAAAAGCCACAAAUAACGAUACUUCCCUGUUGAGUUCUAUUAAUACACAGUCAAUCUGUAAGUUAUUCAGUAACACCACUGAGGGAGCAAAAAUGUAGCUGAGACAAGAGCUUUUAUGCCUCCCACUAAGCUGCACUUUCAAGGGGGCAAGGUAACCCUGAAGGUGGAGUAGGAAAUUAGACAUUUUAACUGAGGAACCAUGCAGAUUGUGCCCAAGAGUCAAAGAAGUACAUUUUCUGCUAAUAAAGAAAUGGAGACAAUGAAUCAGGGAAAACAACUAUGAUCCUGGGAGCUAAUAAAAUCACAGACUGCCAGUGCUAAGACAACAUCCCACAUCUUUCAACAGCCUCUAAAUUCAUCAGCAGGAGGCCACACCAGGUACACAGGUUGAGCAAAGCCAGAGACUUACACUCAGAAAAUGAACUGUGACCACAUUUUCUUCUUGAAAUUAGAUGCCAUAUUAGGGAGUAAGAAAAGUUAGGGAGAAACAACCCUGAUAGGAACUUGAAUUUUAAAUGGUUUGAAUACUAAUACAAAAGAGAUUAAGUUAAACAUUUUUUUAAACAAUGAUUUUCACUUUGUCUUAUCUUUCUUAUAGGUUGGUGGCCUCUGAUGAAGGUAUUCCAAAUAUAGACAUU
rnacentral:lncRNA from 1 species